GGAAUCUUCGGCAAUGGGGGCAACCCUGACCGAGCAACGCCGCGUGAGUGAAGAAGGUUUUCGGAUCGUAAAGCUCUGUUGUAAGAGAAGAACGUGUGUGAGAGUGGAAAGUUCACACAGUGACGGUAACUUACCAGAAAGGGACGGCUAACUACGUGCCAGCAGCCGCGGUAAUACGUAGGUCCCGAGCGUUAUCCGGAUUUAUUGGGCGUAAAGCGAGCGCAGGCGGUCUUUUAAGUCUAAUGUGAAAGGCUUCGGCUUAACCGAAGAAGUGCAUUGGAAACUGGAAGACUUGAGUGCAGAAGAGGACAGUGGAACACCAUGUGUAGCGGUGAAAGGCGUAAAUAUAUGGAAGGACACCAGUGGCGAAGGCGGCUGUCUGGUCUGUAACUGACGCUGAGGCUCGAAAGCAUGGGUAGCGAACA
rnacentral:rRNA from 1 species